rnacentral:rRNA from 1 species
CCUACGGGAGGCAGCAGUGGGGAAUAUUGGACAAUGGGGGAAACCCUGAUCCAGCGACGCCGCGUGAGUGAAGAAGUAUUUCUGUACGUAAAGCUCUAUCAGCAGGGAAGAAAAUGACGGUACCUGACUGAGAAGCCCCGGCUAACUACGUGACAGCAGCCGCGGUCAUACGUAGGGGGCAAGCGUUAUCCGGAUUUACGGGGUGUUAAGGGAGCGUAGACGGCAGCGCAAGUCUGGAGGGAAAUGCCGGGGCCCAACCGCGGAACUGCUCUGGAAACUGUGAAGCUGGAGUGCAGGAGAGGUAAGCGGAAUUCCUGGUGUAGCGGUGAAAUGCGUAGAUAUCAGGAGGAACACCGGUGGCGAAGGCGGCUUACUGGACUGUAACUGACGUUGAGGCUCGAAGGCGUGGGGAGCAAACAGGAUUAGAUACCCUUGUAGUC